rnacentral:rRNA from 1 species
UACGGAGGGGGCUAGCGUUGUUCGGAAUUACUGGGCGUAAAGCGCGCGUAGGCGGCUUUGUAAGUUAGAGGUGAAAGCCCGGAGCUCAACUCCGGAAUUGCCUUUAAGACUGCAUCGCUAGAAUCAUGGAGAGGUGAGUGGAAUUCCGAGUGUAGAGGUGAAAUUCGUAGAUAUUCGGAAGAACACCAGUGGCGAAGGCGACUCACUGGACAUGUAUUGACGCUGAGGUGCGAAAGCGUGGGGAGCAA